UGCCUUGUCUCUAGUAUUUUUGCUAUUUCGGUCUGGUUGGUGAUGUGUGAUGGUGUUUGUAUUUGUGUCUCUCGUUCGGGUGGUUUCUUGCUAUCCUCCAUGUUGGAUUGUUACUGGUUUAACAUCAGUAUGAGUUCUUUCUGAUCUUAUUGGUGCUUCCGAUGUUCACUGCUUCUUUGAGGAACCUUUGUAAGAGUUUCUGGUUCUUUUGCGCAAUUUUAGUGUUUAAAUUUUCAUUUUCGAUCUUUUUUUUAGAUAUUUGUCUUUUUGUUUUUAUUGUUGGUCUAAAUAGUUUUUCCGUUUGGUUGGAGCUUAGCUUCCCUCUUUUGGUCUUAGUUUCUGAAGACAUUUUGUUGGUCUGCCGGCGUUUGUAUUUCAAAUGGUAUUCUACCUUGAGUUCUUAAUAAAAUUCAGACGACAAAAAAAAUGAACUAAUCUGAAACAGUUUUAACAAAUCUCAAAUGAAAUUUUA
rnacentral:sRNA from 1 species